UUUAAGUGCAAAUUAACAGGUAGCAAAAAAUCUUUUGUAGGUUUUAAUUACAGGGGCUCUUGCCGUGUCCACUGACAAAUCACUUUCUCUGAUUUGUCAGUGGACAAUGAACAUUGAGAAUAAAUAUUAAUAUACGCAUUCUAAGAUAAUAUUCUAUUAUUUGUUUGUCACUGGUGAGGCCAGAAAUUGUACUGUAGUGAAGUUUCUUCAAUUACAGAAACAAUUAUACAAAAAAAAUGGUCACAUACUUGAUAUCUCGACUUUCAGCUGUUAACUAUACAUUAUGUUGCAUAGAAUAGUACACUGAUGUUUCAAUAUAAAAAGUGUAUUUACACAUACAAGUUCCCAUUCGAAUGGUCUCUCCCGUUGCGUCGCUGACGAUUAUGGGGAAACUCCUGUUUACUCUGAUACUGAAGACUGAUUUGAUCACAUUUGUGUAGCUGCACGAACCAAUGACGCUUCAACCUGCCAAAAGGGGUGGAGCCGACUGCUGUAUAAGUCAGAGCACCAUUUUGUCCAAUUUUUCUCCUUCAGCAAGGAAGAUCAUCUCCUCGCCGGAAUCUGAAGCAAGAAGCCAAAGCAAGAAGCUCAGCCCCUACAUGAUGCAGAUGGGCAUGCAUAGACUGCGCUCACCAGAACGGAAUGCUCUCACUGAGAGAAUGAGUCUCACCCUUCUCCACUCACGGAUCACCUUCUUCAAUGAAGGCAGCCUUGAUCUCCCAUUUCACCUCUCUCAGCUAGCUCUGAGAAAGAAACAGUGGAGUCACGGGGAUAAGCAACCGGGCUUGAGUGAUCUCACACCAGCACAGGUCCUGCGUGCUCACUCUCCCCGCAGCAUCUUGAUCCACCAGUGUGUUUUACAUGUGAGGAUCAGCGCCCUUCAUCUGCAUCGAGCGGUUUGAUCUUUUUAGGCGGAUCAGAGGAGAAUGCUGUCACCUAUGAUUCUGUAUCGCUGACAGCUUCACCAGGCUGUGGAGAAUCUCGGCUUAGAAUGGUCGGCUGCGGAAGAGCCUGCCCGUAGCCGUUUAGAUAAAUGAUACCCGCUGGGUUGUCGUCAACAAACCUCCUGCUAGAGUUCACGAUGAACUUAUCAAGACGUGGCACGCCCCUACUCGGCACGUGUCAACUUUUAUAUUUCUGCCGCCCUCACCUCUCUUGACGGCAUUGAAGUAAGAGGAUAUGGCAAGCUCCCCCACACGUCUACCUGCCAUCUGCCCGGCGUAUUUGCAAAGCGCUUCACUGCAGCUCAAAAGUCAUUGCAGGUCAUGCACCACUUCUUGCCUAAGCCCCGUAGAAUGAGGUUACUCACUCCAGUUUGCUCACAGGCCACUUCGCCAUGGAAACGGUUCCUCUAGUGAACAGCGAGGUUUUUACAGCUGCUACUUCCUCAUUCCCAAGAAAAAUGGCAGGCUCAGGCAUCUGAACUGUGCGAUUAUGAAUCGCCCAUUCAAAAUGCUGACUUGGAAGCAGAUCCUCACACAAAUGCCGCAGGGACUGGUUUUUUAUCGGUGGAUCUGAAAGACGCUUACUUUCACAUCCAGAUAGCCCCUCAUCACAGACCGCUCUUGAGAUUCGCGUUCGAGGGGGUGGAUUAUCAAUUUACAAUCUUAUCAUUCGGACUGUCUCUGGUCCUAUGCACUUUACAAAGUGCACGUAUGCUGCUCUUUCUCCUCUGAGACUGAUUGGAAUCUGCAUUGUGAAUAACCUAGACGAUUGGCUGGUCUUAGCCAGAUCGAAACAGGAACUCAUUGCUCACAGGUCGCUACUGCUCAGCCACCUGGAGUGGCUUGGGCUACUAAUUAAUUUAGCCAAGAGCUUUCUGUCUCCCAACCAGCAAGAAGUCUUCCUUGGGACAGUUAUUGAUUCUGCCCAGAUGCGGGCAUGGAUUACGCUGGAAUGCUCCCUGAUAAUUCAGUGGCUUGUGGCGUCAUUCAGACUUGGGACUUCACAUCCCCUCAGGGCUUUCAGAGGAUGCUUGGCCUCAUGUCAGCCCCUUCCUCUGUGAUUCCUCUGGGCCUGCUUCACAUGCGGCCCCCUUCAGUAUUGAUUCAAAGCCCAUGUUCCAUCCUACGCUUGGUGCUGCGAUGUUUUCAUCUCAGGAUAACCCAUCGCUGCAUCAGAGCUGUGGCCCCUUGGAAAACACCUCACCUGUUUCAAUCAGGCAUCCUGUUGCGACUGACCUCCAGAAGGAAGCAUCAGAAUCAGAAAGAGCUUUAUUGCCAAGUGUGCUUACAUAC